GGCACCUCCAGCACUGUUGGUGAAGAUUCUGUCUGGUGCAUUUGUGUCUCUGUUUGUUGCUGGUUGAACUUGGAUGCCCUGGGUGUGUGAUGCAGGUGGCUGUCAAGACCAGAUCCCAAGAUACCUGAGUCCCCGAGAGGCUGAGCCAAAGUCCAGGUAAAGACCGUGGCCACAACAUUGGAGCAUUGGCCUUGGGUCUCCAUCUGGGAACUGAAAGUUGACGGGCAGCCAAAGGAGGAGGACAACUCUUGCUCAGAAAGGGUCUUCAAUAGCUGCUGGUGGCGACAUGAGGUCUCCAGAGGAUCGUCCACUCAUCCAUGAAAUCGUGACAAUGGGCCACAAUCUCAGUUUAAAGAUGGACAGCGAUGAUGUUGAGGACAUGCUGGAGAAGCAUCGUGAUGAGCUCACUUCCGAAGAACUCCUGCACCUUCAGGAGGAGCAGAAGAACACGUUGGAGGAUGAGAUGUCAUCCGAUGACUAAACCCAAGAAGAAUGUCCCAAGUGCUGACAUCAAAGGCAUCUGUGCCAAGUGGAGCGAAAUCCAUAAUUUCGUUGAACUUCAUCACCCCAAUAAAUCUGAAUGUAGCAGAGAACUCCAAAAUUUUAAUGAUGUCUUAAUGAGCCACUUCAGAAAUGUUCUUAAGAAUCGGCAGCAACAAAGGACAUUAGAUUCGAUUUUUGUUAAAAGGGGGUGAGUCACCACACCUGAAGACAUUUGAUUUAUACAGUUGUUGAAGCAUUUCUCAAUUUUUUUGUUUGUUAAUUCUAGUUACGAAUGUUUUGUUACAUUUUGUUCAAAAAAAAAAAGCUUUUCUACCCCUAAUUAGUGUUUGAUUAAAGUUAUUCUUUUGUGAAUAAAAAAAGUUUACAAGGCUGGGGGCCGAGUCGCUAAAAAUACAGGAAUUCACUCCCAGCCUAGUAUAGUCCACUACUAAAGCAUAUAUUUUAAGCGAAAAAUAAAUAUUUUUACAUUAAUUUAUAAAAAGUAUUUAAACCAUAAAUUUAUUUCUACUAUCCAGUUUAUUAUCAGGAAAAGCUAAAAAAAUGUGUUAAAAAGCCCAAAUUUUGGAAUGCAUUAUUUCUUUUUUCAUUCAUUGUCAUAGAAAACAUUGAUUACGGAUUUUAUGUAGCACACCGUGGAUUCAUUCACACCAUCAUCGCGCGCAACAAAAGCAUAAUUUCUGCCAUCUUUGAUCAUAUCCAAAAGUUUUUCAUCUUCCUCUUCUUGUUGGGCACUUCAGAUGAAGCUUUCAUAUCAGCACAGCGCUUUGGUGGCAUUGUGAACACAACACGUUAUCGCGCAGUCAAUUACAGAAAAUGGUGGAAAGGAAUGACAAGGGAAAGGUUUGAAUGGAAUUUGCUUAGUGAGGCUUCAAUGAUCCUCACCUAAUCACCUCAGAAGAUAAAUCCAUAGAUGCUCUUAUUGGUCAACGUCACGCCUGGACCAAUCACACGCCUUGUACCAAUGCAUAUUCCCGCAAUAUGCCAAUAUUUAUUUCUUUUGGGCCAGGGUGUUAAAAACGCAAAGCACCAAAGCCGCAAAAAGUGAAGCGUGAAGUAGCAAGGGAAUCCUGGAUUAUAUUUUUUUCCCUUUCAUUCCAGUGUAAUUGAGGAAGAUCCCUGUCUGCCGUGACGCUCCAUUACAUGUAGAUGUCACUCUUGACCCUCUCAUUCUCCCAACCCGGCGGCCCAAAUGAGGCCCCGUGGGUUGCGGAAUCUGUCUGGGUUGGCGAUUAAAUUUGUUUAAUGCCACCAUGCUAGCCACAGCUGUCUAGUCUUUUCUCUGAUGUCCUCAUUGGCAAUCCACUUCACAUUAGAGUCCCAAAACAAUUGUGCAAUUUCCUUGUCCUUUCAUUCCUGUGAGAGUAAGUAUCAUCUUCAUGUCUGAGAUGGGAAGGGUAUCCACCAGGUCAGGGUGAUGAAGGAUAGUAAUGGAAAUGUGUUAACUGGUGCCAGUAGUGCUAAAUAGAUUAAAUAAUAGUUGAUGAACAAAGAAAAUGAGAGUGAAGGAAGAGUUAAAGAGGCAAGUGUGAUGGGCCAGGACGUGACAAUGAUUAGUAAGGGGGAAGUUGGAACGGCACUAAAAUGGAUAAAAAAUGGAAAAGCAGUUGGUCCUGAUGACAUACCUGUGGAGGUAUGGAAGCAAUUUGAAGAGGUGGCUGCGGAGUUUUUGACCAACUUAUUCAACAGAAGACUCACGGGCGAGAAGAUGCCUGAAGAAUGGAAGAAAAGUGUGCUUGUUCCCAUUUUUAAGAACAAAGGCGAUUUGCAGAGCUGUGGGAACGAUAGAGGAAUAAAGUUAAUGAGCCACACAAUGAAGUUAUGGGAAAGAGUGGUGGAGGCGACAGUCAGGACAGAAGUAAGUACAGAGGUAUCUCAGUUUUCGGACAAAAAUUUUGAGAUUUUUUUGGCUUGGUUUUCGAACAAAAAUUGGUAUUAGAACACCCAGGCCAGCUGACCCACAAUGAUUUGUUUUUGUGCUUUCAAGCACACCCCCCAGAAAACAGAAAAGGCCGACUGCGCGCAUUAGCGAACGGCACAACCAGUUGACUGACACACUUCUCUACUCGCGGAUGUUUCCCAGUACUGUAGUGACUUUUUUUUUCUUCAAAUUGAGCAACAUUAACCCCUGAUCAUGGCUCCAAAGAAGGCAAGUGGAACUGCUGGUGUUGAAAAAAGGAAAGUAGUUCGUAAAACUGUUGACAAGCAGCAGUUAGCUGGGGGUAGUGUUGGCAAGGAAGGGAUUUGCGCCAAAGCUAGAAACCUGUAUACAGAUUUAAAAAGAAAAGACCUCAGUUUAGUUUUUUUCUAGUUUUUUUUUAGAAUUCUAAGCAAGUCAAGGAUGGUUCUAUAAUUUCUGCAAAAGAAGUGGGAUUCACUCCGUUGUUCGCCAUAGGCUGCAAAUUUAGCAUUGCUUUUUUUUCUUUUGUUCCAUUACCCCUACCUCUAGUUGCAAGUUCAUUUUUUUACAUGUUACGUAAUUUCUGUGCAAAUAAACAAUGUCUGUUUUUUCUCCCACUCAUUAUUGCUCGUUUAAAGUUAUUCUGCACUUUUGUUAAUAAAAAAAAGAGGUGUAUAAUGCUGGGGGCCAAGUCACUACAGAUACGGCAAUGCACUCCCAGCCUAGCAUAGUCUACUAGGCUAACGCAUACAUUUUGAGCAAAAAAUAAAUAUAUUUUUAAAAUGAUUUAAUUAUAUAAAUUAUUUAAACAUGUAUUUCUACUAUGUAGUUAAUUUUCAGGAAAAGCUACAAAAAUUGUUUAAACUAUUUUUUAAGUUUAGAACGCAUUAUUUCAUUUUCCAUUAAUUGAAAUGGGACAACGUGCUUUGGUUUUCGAACGUUUUGGUUUUCAACCAGAAUUCUGGAACGGUGGUGGAGAAAUAUGUUAUAAUAUUACAGGACAUGUAUGAGGACAGCAGAAUGGUGGUCAGGUGGUCCAUAGGUGUGACAGAAGAAUUUAAGGUGGCAGUGGGACUGCGUCAGGGAUCAGCUCUGAGCCCCUUCCUGUUUACUGUUGUAAGGGAUAGGCUGACAGAUAGGUUAGACUAGACUCCCUUUGGACCAUGAUGUUCAUAGAUGAAAUUGUAGUGAAAGCAGGGAGCAGUUGGAUGAACAAUUAGAAAGAUGGAGGCAUGUAGUGGAAAGGAGAGGAAUGAAGAUUAGCCGAAGUAAAACCAAAUAUAUAAGCCUGAAUGAUAGGGGUGGAGGAGGAAGAGUGAGGCUCCAGGGAGAAGAAAUAGCGAGAGUGGAUGACUUCAAAUACUUGGGGUCAACAAUCCAAAGCAAUAGUAAGUGUGGUAAGGAAGUAAAUAAACUGGUCUAACCAGGUUGGAACAGCUGGCGAUAGGUGUCUGUUGUGUUAUGUGACAGAAGAGUCUUUGUUAGGAUGAAAUAAAUUUUUUGACUUGGCCGGGAGUGGAAACGGAAGCUUUCUGUGAAGUCUUGACGUGUCAAUUGAGUCAUACAGCUGUUGCGGCGGUGAAGAUGCGGUCAGUGUUAAAAAUAAAAGACAUUGUUACGUAAAUUGUAAUGCAAUACAAAUUAUGUAAAUUAGUCAUUCUUUCUCCGUGGCCCAGUAACAGAUGCCUCACGGCAUGGUUCCAGUCCGCGGACCAGUAGUUGGGGGCUACUGAAUUAAACUAUUUCCUUUUAUUUCAGUUGUGUGUCAGGCAGUUGUUUUGCUUGUUGCACCCUCUAACUCCAUCUGUGGUUGUCCAUUGGUGAAGAAGAUGCCCGAGUUUUGUGAUUCAGAGGGAGGGUGUUUUUGCUUCACAAAACCUUUGGGGGCCAGCUCACGCAGUUGGUUUGUUGACAUUGCAGGGGCACCUAAACACGAUGCUAGCCAUGGCUGUCCAGUCUUUUCUCUGAUGUUCUUGUUGGCAAUCCACUUCACGUUGGAAUGCAACAACAAAUGUACCAUCUCCGUGUCCUUUCGUUUUCGUGGGAACAUGGGCCGAGCGCCGAACUGCGGGGUGUCAUCUUCAUGUCUCAUGUUCGUUACACUCUUUUUGUAUUUCUUGUGUCUUCGAUUGCUGUUGA